rnacentral:tRNA from 1 species
UCCCUGGUAGUAUAUCGGUUUAGUACACGCGCCUGUCAUUUGGAUGUGCGCGCGAAAGCGGGGUUCGACUCCCCGCCAGGGAG